rnacentral:rRNA from 1 species
UACGGGGGGGGCAAGCGUUGUUCGGAAUUACUGGGCGUAAAGGGCUCGUAGGCGGCCAACUAAGUCAGACGUGAAAUCCCCAGGCUCAACCUGGGAACUGCGUCUGAUACUGGAUGGCUUGAAUCCGGGAGAGGGAUGCAGAAUUCCAGGUGUAGCGGUGAAAUGCGUAGAUAUCGGAAGGAACAUCAGUGGCGAAAGCGACUGCCUGGUCCAGCAUCGACGUUCAGGCACGAAAGCGUGGGGAGCAAACAGG